UACGUAGGGGGCAAGCGUUGUCCGGAAUCAUUGGGCGUAAAGCGCGUGUAGGCGGUUCGGUAAGUCUGCUGUGAAAGUCCAGGGCUCAACCCUGGGAUGCCGGUGGAUACUGUCGGACUAGAGUACGGAAGAGGCGAGUGGAAUUCCCGGUGUAGCGGUGAAAUGCGCAGAUAUCGGGAGGAACACCAAUUGCGAAGGCAGCCCCCUGGGUCAACACUGACGCUCAUGCACGAAAGCGUGGGGAGCAAACAGG
rnacentral:rRNA from 1 species